GAUGAAGAACGCAGCGAAAUGCGAUAAGUAGUGUGAAUUGCAGAAUUCAGUGAAUCAUCGAAUCUUUGAACGCACAUUGCGCCCCUUGGUAUUCCAUGGGGCAUGCCUGUUCGAGCGUCAUUUGUACCUUCAAGCUUUGCUUGGUGUUGGGUGUUUGUCCCGAGGGACUCGCCUUAAAGUAAUUGGCAGCCAGUGUUUGGUUUUGAAGCGCAGCACAAGUCGCGAUUCAAGGCUACACGCCCGCUUCCACAAGCCUUUUUUCACUUUUGACCUCGGAUCAGGUAGGGAUACCCGCUGAACUUAAGCAUAUCAAUAAGCGGAGA
rnacentral:misc_RNA from 1 species